GACGAACGCUGGCGGCGUGCUUAACACAUGCAAGUCGUACGGUAAGGCCCUUUCGGGGGUACACGAGUGGCGAACGGGUGAGUAACACGUGCGUAACCUGCCCACAACUUUGGGAUAACGCUAGGAAACUGGUGCUAAUACUGGAUAUGUGCUCCUGCUGCAUGGUGGGGGUUGGAAAGCUCCGGCGGUUGUGGAUGGACUCGCGGCCUAUCAGCUUGCUGGUGGGGUAGUGGCCUACCAAGGCGGCGACGGGUAGCCGGCCUGAGAGGGUGACCGGCCACAUUGGGACUGAGAUACGGCCCAGACUCCUACGGGAGGCAGCAGUGGGGAAUAUUGCACAAUGGGCGCAAGCCUGAUGCAGCAACGCCGCGUGCGGGAUGACGGCCUUCGGGUUGUAAACCGCUUUCAGCAGGGACGAAGCUUUUUGUGACGGUACCUGCAGAAGAAGCACCGGCUAACUACGUG
rnacentral:rRNA from 1 species